CGCCGCCCCUAAUAAUGCUAACUAAUGUGCCGUCAUCGGGUUCAAAAUACUUGCCGCCGCCCGCAGUUCCUCAAACCCUCAAACAGCAUCAUUCAACAAUGCCCGAAGAUCCAGCGUACUUUGCGGGCGCUUCGUUAAGUACACAUGAUCUUCGAGCAUGUAAUUCAGCCCCACCCAUGGCGUUUUUGCCGUACCCGCCAAGGGCCGAAAAUCACCGGGAUUCAAAAAAGCAGACAAGAGAUAAGUGCCCCAUACGCACUAAAUCAACAACAAAGCGCAGAAGUGAAGAUUCAAACUUUAUUCAAAAGCUUAGAGGUGAACUCCCUGUGCGCGUAGUAAAACCGCACGUUAUGUUAGUGUUGUUGAAAUUCAAACAACCCCGUUUUCCCUUUUCUGGGCGUAAUAUCAAGAAAGCUCAAAUCUUUCUUUAGUCCCUAGGGUUUUCUGGAUGGGAUCCCUGUGUUUCACUUUUUUUCUUUUUGAGUAUCUCAAUACCAGUCUUUUUCCAAAAGUAGGAAUGCGGUCGCCAUCACCAUCACAAUGAUCCAGGAACACAAUCAAAAUGGAUCAAAAUGAAUGAAAUGAGUACGAAUGAGACAAGAACCAUUAGGAAUUUUGAAUGCUAUAAACCAAUUGGUUUAGGGAUUUUAAUGCCUUGGUACUCAAAUUGAGAACAUUAAAACCAUGUACAGCAGAAAUAUGGAUCAGCCCCUGAUCCCACUCAAGUAGAAAGUCCACUUAAAUGAUAGAAUAAUAAGUACCACUACAUACUAGGAU